rnacentral:rRNA from 1 species
GAUGAACGCUGGCGGCGUGCCUAAUACAUGCAAGUCGAGCGCACGGACGAGAAGCUUGCUUCUCUGUUGUUAGCGGCGGACGGGUGAGUAACACGUGGAUAACCUACCUAUAAGACUGUGAUAACUUCGGGAAACCGGAGCUAAUACCGGAUAAUAUUUUGAACCGCAUGGUUCAAAAGUGAAAGACGGUCUUGCUGUCACUUAUAGAUGGAUCCGCGCUGCAUUAGCUAGUUGGUAAGGUAACGGCUUACCAAGGCAACGAUGCAUAGCCGACCUGAGAGGGUGAUCGGCCACACUGGAACUGAGACACGGUCCAGACUCCUACGGGAGGCAGCAGUAGGGAAUCUUCCGCAAUGGGCGAAAGCCUGACGGAGCAACGCCGCGUGAGUGAUGAAGGUCUUCGGAUCGUAAAACUCUGUUAUUAGGGAAGAACAUAUGUGUAAGUAACUGUGCACAUCUUGACGGUACCUAAUCAGAAAGCCACGGCUAACUACGUG